rnacentral:rRNA from 1 species
CAUAGGUUAAUGAGGCGAACCGGGGGAACUGAAACAUCUAAGUACCCCGAGGAAAAGAAAUCAACCGAGAUUCCCCCAGUAGCGGCGAGCGAACGGGGAGCAGCCCAGAGCCUGAAUCAGUGUGUGUGUUAGUGGAAGCGUCUGGAAAGGCGCGCGAUACAGGGUGACAGCCCCGUACACAAAAAUGCACAUGCUGUGAGCUCGAUGAGUAGGGCGGGACACGUGGUAUCCUGUCUGAAUAUGGGGGGACCAUCCUCCAAGGCUAAAUACUCCUGACUGACCGAUAGUGAACCAGUACCGUGAGGGAAAGGCGAAAAGAACCCCGGCGAGGGGAGUGAAAAAGAACCUGAAACCGUGUACGUACAAGCAGUGGGAGCACGCUUAGGCGUGUGACUGCGUACCUUUUGUAUAAUGGGUCAGCGACUUAUAUUCUGUAGCAAGGUUAACCGAAUAGGGGAGCCGAAGGGAAACCGAGUCUUAACUGGGCGUUAAGUUGCAGGGUAUAGACCCGAAACCCGGUGAUCUAGCCAUGGGCAGGUUGAAGGUUGGGUAACACUAACUGGAGGACCGAACCGACUAAUGUUGAAAAAUUAGCGGAUGACUUGUGGCUGGGGGUGAAAGGCCAAUCAAAGCGGGAGAUAGCUGGUUCUCCCCGAAAGCUAUUUAGGUAGCGCCUCGUGAAUUCAUCUCCGGGGGUAGAGCACUGUUUCGGCAAGGGGGUCAUCCCGACUUACCAACCCGAUGCAAACUGCGAAUACCGGAGAAUGUUAUCACGGGAGACACACGGCGGGUGCUAACGUCCGUCGUGAAGAGGGAAACAACCCAGACCGCCAGCUAAGGUCCCAAAGUCAUGGUUAAGUGGGAAACGAUGUGGGAAGGCCCAGACAGCCAGGAUGUUGGCUUAGAAGCAGCCAUCAUUUAAAGAAAGCGUAAUAGCUCACUGGUCGAGUCGGCCUGCGCGGAAGAUGUAACGGGGCUAAACCAUGCACCGAAGCUGCGGCAGCGACACUAUGUGUUGUUGGGUAGGGGAGCGUUCUGUAAGUCUGUGAAGGUGUACUGUGAGG